rnacentral:misc_RNA from 1 species
CCUUUUGCAUCAUAUGUGCUUUCUCAUUUUUACUUCAUUGUCAAAAUCUAUAAAUUAUUAUUGUUAUUAUUAUUAUUGUUGUUCUGCGACUCUGAAUUCCCUAAUUCUUCCAUUUUCAUACCUUAAAAUCAUUGAAUCAACAAGGGAGACUGUUGAUAGCCCAUAUUUGGGGUUGGGCAUUUUGAAUUUCAUAUGCGCUGUUCUUUCUUUCUUUUUUUCUUUCUUCUUUCUUUUUGGUGGUUUGUGGGAGGGUUGGUUUGGUUGCGUUUGUGUGCCAGUGUUUUCUUGUUGCCAUUUAAUUAUUUGUGGAACUAGGGAUAUGUUACAGACCUGCACUUUUACCAUCAUUUCAUGUCUUUCCUUCUGCAUAUUGCUUCUCGUUCCCACUAAGGAAAGUUAGUUUACUUAUGGUUUUACUACCUCACUUCCUAUUACUAAAGGGCGUUACAUUGCUACUCAUAAUUGUUUCCCUUCCAAUGCUUAGGAAGAAGAAAUUGAUGGUGUGGAUUUUAUAAUUAUUGCAAGUGAUGGGCUUUGGAAUGUCUUAUCAAAUAAGGAUGCAGUUGACCUAGUGCAGGACAUAACAGAUGCAGAAGCAGCAUCAAGAAAACUAAUACAAGAAGCUUAUGCAAGGGGUAGCUCUGAUAACAUUACCUGCAUUGUGGUUCGAUUUGACAAUUCAUGAGCGGACAGAUCAAGGUGAUAGUCAUCCUAGCUCAAAAUGGAAGAAGCAUCAAGUAGUGCUUUAUUUAGCCCUACCUUUGGAUGGACUGUGAGUAGGUGAUGGGUGUUACAAUGCAGACUAACAAUUGAAUUUCCAAGUUGUUGAUGUAGAUCCAUGUGUUUAUUAUGGAUAGCUUCAUGGUACCUUGAUAUAAAAGAUUGUGUUUUGUUGCCACCAUUCAGAUCUUGACUGUUCCUUUAGAAACAAAAACAAGGUAAAUUACAGAUGACACAAUUUUUAUGAAUUGCAGUUUAAUUUUAGCCCAAAGAAUUUUUCACCUUGUUAAAAUAUGUUUGUCAGUGAUUAUGGAUGCAAUAGUUAAUGGAACCCAUGCAUUGCUUCUCCCUGUAAUUUGAAAUUUUAAA